GACGAACGCUGGCGGCGUGCUUAACACAUGCAAGUCGAACGGUAAGGCCCUUCGGGGUACACGAGUGGCGAACGGGUGAGUAACACGUGGGUGAUCUGCCCUGCACUUCGGGAUAAGCCUGGGAAACUGGGUCUAAUACCGGAUAGGACCCUGGGAUGCAUGUCCUGGGGUGGAAAGUUUUUGCGGUGUGGGAUGGGCCCGCGGCCUAUCAGCUUGUUGGUGGGGUGAUGGCCUACCAAGGCGACGACGGGUAGCCGGCCUGAGAGGGUGACCGGCCACACUGGGACUGAGAUACGGCCCAGACUCCUACGGGAGGCAGCAGUGGGGAAUAUUGCACAAUGGGCGCAAGCCUGAUGCAGCGACGCCGCGUGAGGGAUGACGGCCUCCGGGUUGUAAACCUCUUUCAGCACCGACGAAGCGCAAGUGACGGUAGGUGCAGAAGAAGGACCGGCCAACUACGUGCCAGCAGCCGCAGUAA
rnacentral:rRNA from 1 species